rnacentral:rRNA from 1 species
AUGGACGCGCUCUUCGAGCAACUCUCUGCCGUCGCGGACAUGGCUCUCGACGGCCGGGGCUUCGACCCGGCGCGGCUUGCCGGCGUCCUCGCGCUCUUCGAGGGCGAGGCGCACGCCUCGUGGGCGGCGGCCGAGGCGGAGCACGAGGCGGUGGCCCGGGGCACCGAGGCGGCCGUGGAGACCGCUCAGGGCCACCUGAACGCCGUCAUGGGCGCGGCCGUCGGCAAGUACCGCGGCUCGUCCGGCGAGGCCGACGCGCUGUCCGCGGCCAGGGCGGCCAUGGAUAUGGCCUUCAAGGCGACGUCCGGGACACGCCCCUCGUGA